rnacentral:lncRNA from 1 species
GAGUAUCAGCUGCGAAGAAGCCACUUGCAGUGACACCAGUGAGAGCAUUUUGGAAGAGGAACCACAAGAAAAUCAAAAGAAACUUUUGCCCUUAUCAGUAACACCUGAGUUGAACAUAUAGUUGACCAGAUUAAAUGCAGCAAACAUCCAGGCUUUUUCUGGAACUGUUAUAGAAAAAGAAUUUGUAUCACCUUCCUUAACACCACCCCCAGCCAUUGCUCAUCCCGCACUACCCACUAUUCCAGAACGAAAGGAAGUUCUGUUGGAAGCAUCUGAAGAAACUGGAAAGAG